rnacentral:rRNA from 1 species
UACGGAGGGAGCUAGCGUUGUUCGGAAUUACUGGGCGUAAAGCGCACGUAGGCGGCUUUGUAAGUUAGAGGUGAAAGCCCGGAGCUCAACUCCGGAACUGCCUUUAAGACUGCAUCGCUUGAAUCCAGGAGAGGUGAGUGGAAUUCCGAGUGUAGAGGUGAAAUUCGUAGAUAUUCGGAAGAACACCAGUGGCGAAGGCGGCUCACUGGACUGGUAUUGACGCUGAGGAGCGAAAGCGUGGGUAGCAAACAGG